UAAUACGUAGGCAGCGAGCGUUGUUCGGAGUUACUGGGCGUAAAGGGUGUGUAGGCGGUUCGGUAAGUCUGGUGUGAAAUCUCCCGGCUCAACUGGGAGGGUGCGCCGGAAACUGCCAAACUAGAGUGCGGGAGAGGAAAGUGGAAUUCCUGGUGUAGCGGUGAAAUGCGUAGAUAUCAGGAGGAACACCGGUGGUGUAGACGGCUUUCUGGACCGUAACUGACGCUGAAACACGAAAGCGUGGGUAGCAAACAGGAUUAGAUACCCUGGUAGUCCACGCCCUAAACGAUGCAUAUUUGGUGUGGGCAGUUCAUUCUGUCCGUGCCGGAGCUAACGCGUUAAAUAUGCCGCCUGGGGAGUACAGUCGCAAGGCUG
rnacentral:rRNA from 1 species